UUCGGUGGCAAUAGCAAGAAGGUCACACCUGUUCCCAUUCCGAACACAGUAGUUAAGCUUCUUAGCGCUGAUGAUACUUGGUGGGUGACCGCCCGGGAAAGUAAGACGUCGCCGGAA
rnacentral:rRNA from 1 species